rnacentral:lncRNA from 1 species
CGGGGAGCUGGGGCCGUCCCCGUGCCGUCCUCCCGCAGCACGAGCCGCACCAUGGCCCCGCCGCAGCUGCAGGUUCCCGCUGGAGGUGGGAAGGGGCUGCCAAGAGCCAUCACCCUCCCGCAGAAAUGCUCCGGGGUCUGGAACCAAUUAUUCUCUGGGCCCAGGAAUUAGCACAUUACAAAGGCAAAAUGACUUCAAGAACCUGGAAUGGGAUCAGUUUUUGCUCAAAUUGUCACCUGCUGACCCUGCCCCUACCCUCGGUGCGGGGAGGGGAGGCUGCAGGGCAGCUGCGCAGGGCGCGGGGCCCUUUGAGGGCAGGAAAACCCUCGCCCGCACCCGGCAGCUCCGGGCCGAGGUUACGGAGAGGUGUUGGUGCUCGCUCCCCGCGUCAGAGGAAUUUUUCUCAUUCCCGGCUGAAGCUCUCCAGAGCUCAGCCCCAGCUGAGAAGUGACCCGGGGCUGCCACGCGCACCCUGCCCAGCGCCCAGGCGCACCCGGGUGCUUCCCACCCAAAAGCAGAUUCUGGAAAAGCAGGUUCUGCCCCAAAUGGCUGCGGGUGCUCGGGGUGAGCUGCCCGUGGCUUCUGCAAUCCCAUCCCCUAGAUCCCAAACAUGCCUUCCUGAGCCCAGCCAACCCAGGGGCGGGUGCCUGGGGGGCACCCGGCGGCCCCGGUGGUCUCAUCCCCACGCCACCCGGGACAGUGCGUGGGUGAACCUGGGGGCUGUGCUGCCCCGUGCCCUGCGUGACCGGACCCCCCCCCCGCCUCCGCAGCCACCUCCUGGCUCCAGCUGGAGAGAAAUCCUGCUCUCGCCUCGCGACCGAGCUAAGCGAGCUGGAGAAAAUCAACACGGGAUUUGCAUUAACAGCAGUCGCUACAACAAGAGCGCAGCCAAGCACAAUAUUGGGAACCCAGUUUCCCCUCCGUCCUUAGUGCUUCCAGAUGGAGCCCCUCGCGCAGACCAAAGGGUAGGGGCACAGCCACAGCUCGGCUCUCAGCACGGAUGCUUUCUGCAGCCCCGGCCCCGGGGGGGGGUGAGGAGGGACAGAUCUGCCCUUUGUUCGAGCUCCCAGCCCCGCGCCAAAGCAGCAGAGAGACCUGCAGCUUCCCCAGCUUCCAAAGCAGCAGAUUUAUUUCCGCUUACAUCAGAGAAAGUUUUUUUUUUAAAAAAAAAAAGAGAGAGAGAGAGAAAUAGAUCAGGAUAUUCUGUAGGUCCCGCGGGCUCUGUAUAGGGGAAGACAUCCUUGGAAUAACAUCACUGGCCCCAGCGCUGCCUGCUGAGGCCAGCCAGGACCCGGCCUCUCUGGGCACUAAAAUCACUCUAGCAGAGUGCUAAAAAUAUUCACGACCCAGGAGGGAGUCGUCACCACCGAGCGGGCCCCAGGUAUUAAGUAGGUAGCAAGACCUGGCACGGGCUGCUUGGCUUACACCUAGGCACACGCGCUUGUGCUUGCCAUCAGAGCAAAGAUGUUCCCGAGGCAGGGGCCAGACCCCGCCGGCUGGCUCGACGCCCGCGCCCCCUGCCAGGAAAGCCCUUCC